GCCCGGGUGGCGAAAUGGCAGCCGCAGCGGACUCAAAAUCCGCCGCCCUCUAAAGGCGUGAAGGUUCGAGUCCUUUCCCGGGCAC
rnacentral:tRNA from 1 species